rnacentral:rRNA from 1 species
UGGGGAAUAUUGCACAAUGGGGGAAACCCUGAUGCAGCGACGCCGCGUGGAGGAAGAAGGUCUUCGGAUUGUAAACUCCUGUUGUUGAGGAAGAUAAUGACGGUACUCAACAAGGAAGUGACGGCUAACUACGUGCCAGCAGCCGCGGUAAAACGUAGGUCACAAGCGUUGUCCGGAAUUACUGGGUGUAAAGGGAGCGCAGGCGGGAGAACAAGUUGGAAGUGAAAUCCAUGGGCUCAACCCAUGAACUGCUUUCAAAACUGUUUUUCUUGAGUAGUGCAGAGGUAGGCGGAAUUCCCGGUGUAGCGGUGGAAUGCGUAGAUAUCGGGAGGAACACCAGUGGCGAAAGGCGGCCUACUGGGCACCAACUGACGCUGAGGCUCGAAAGUGUGGGUAGC